GAUGAACGCUGGCGGCGUGCAUGAGACAUGCAAGUCGAACGAAGGGUCGGGCUUGCUCGAUCCUUAGUGGCGGACGGCUGCGUAACGCGUAGGUGACCUACCCCGACGUGGGGAAUAACUGCCAGAACGGGUGGCCAUUACCGCAUGUGGACGAACUUUUACUCCUGCGAGUAAAGCCGCAAGGUGCUGCGGUAGGGGCCUGCAUCCGAUUAGCUCGUCGGUAGGGUCAUGUCUUAACAAGGCGACGAUGGGGAGGUGGGCGGGGAGGACGGGCACCCAGGCCGGGGCUGAGACACAGCCCAGACUCCUACGCGAGGGAGCAGACGGUAAUUGAGCACCAUGGGGGGAGCCCUGAAGCAGCAACGCCGGGGAAGGGAUGAAGGCCGUCGGGUAGUAAACCUCUUUUGUCAGGGACGAUGAUGACGGUACCUGGCGAAUAAGCCACGGCUAACUACGUG
rnacentral:rRNA from 1 species